CCUACGGGUGGCAGCAGUGGGGAAUAUUGGGCAAUGGACGAGAGUCUGAACCAGCCAAGUAGCGUGAAGGAUGACUGCCCUAUGGGUUGUAAACUUCUUUUAUAUGGGAAUAAAAUGUUCCACGUGUGGGAUUUUGUAUGUACCAUAUGAAUAAGGAUCGGAUAACUCCGUGCCAACAGCCGCGGUAAUACGGAGGAUCCGAGCGUUAUCCGGAUGUAUUGGGUUUAAAGGGAGCGUAGGUGGAUUGUUAAGUCAGUUGUGAAAGUUUGCGGCUCAAACGUAAAAUUUCAAUUGAUACUGGCAGUCUUGAGUACAGUUGAGGUAGGCGGAAUUCGGGGUGUAGCGGUGACAUGCUUAGAUAUCACGAAGAACUCCGAUUGCGAAGGCAGCUUACUAAACUGCCACUGACAUUGAUGCUCGAAAGUGUGGGUAUCAAACAGGAGUAGAUACCCUAGUAGUC
rnacentral:rRNA from 1 species